GUGUCAGCCGCCGCGGUAAUACGGGGGGAGCCAGCGUUGUCCGGAAUCACUGGGCGUAAAGGGCGUGUAGGCGGGCAUGCCAGUCAGGUGUAAAAGUCUACGGCUUAACCGUAGUUGGUCAUCUGAUACUGCAUGUCUUGAGUUCGAGAGAGGGUGGUGGAAUUCCUGGUGUAGCGGUGAAAUGCGUAGAUAUCAGGAAGAACACCGGAGGCGAAGGCGGUCUUCUGGGCCACUCCUGACACUGAGGCACGAAAGCUAGGGGAGCGAACGGGAUUAGAUACCCCGGUAGUCCUAGCCGUAAACGAUGGGCACUAGAUGUUCCCACAUUUUGUGGGAGUGUCGAAGCUAACGCGUUAAGUGCCCCGCCCGGGGAGUACGGUCGCAAGGCUGAAACUUAAAUGAAUUGACGGGG
rnacentral:rRNA from 1 species